GCAGGCUGCAACUCGCCUGUAUGAAGUCGGAAUUGCUAGUAAUCGUGGAUCAGCAUGCCACGGUGAAUACGUUCCCGGGCCUUGUACACACCGCCGUCACACCAUGAGAGCCGGGAACACCCGAAGUCCGUAGUCUAACCUAUAUGGAGGACGCGGCCGAAGGUGGGUUUGGUAAUUGGGGUGAAGUCGUAACAAGGUAUC
rnacentral:rRNA from 1 species